GAUGAAGAACGUAGCGAAAUGCGAUAAGUAGUGUGAAUUGCAGAAUUCAGUGAAUCAUCGAAUCUUUGAACGCACAUUGCGCCCGCCAGUAUUCUGGCGGGCAUGCCUGUUCGAGCGUCAUUUCAACCCUCAGGUCCCCCUUUUCGGAGGGGGAGACACCCUGGUGUUGGGGGACGGCAUCCUGGCCCGCUGUCUCACAGUGUGCCACGCCGCCCCCGAAAUGAAUUGGCGGCCUCGUCGCGUGCCACCCCUGCGUAGUAGCACAACCUCGCAACGGGAGCCCGACGCGGCCACUGCCGUAAAACGCCCAACUUUUACCGAGUUGACCUCGAAUCAGGUAGGAAUACCCGCUGAACUUAAGCAUAUCAAAAGCGGAGGA
rnacentral:misc_RNA from 1 species